CACGUUUUGGAUAGAGGGAACUCGAAGGUAGGUUUAUACAAAAAUGGCGGCCACGUUGGAAACAUCGCAGAACAAAGGUUCUGACGUUUAUUACGACGUAUGUUGUACAAUACGUGGAGAUGAAGGCAUAUAUAAAGAAGGACGGUUUAAUUGUAAGAAAUGUUCAAAAUAUUUCUGUAACAGUUGUGUAUUCACGCACGAUAAGUUUCUUAAGGAUCAUUUAAUACUGAACAAGGGGGCGGUGACGAUUGGCUUGUAGUUAAACAAGUUGAUGGUUCGCUGGAGUUAUGUGAGGAGCACACGACUGAGAAACUGACGAUGUUCUGUGAAGAUGAUGAAAAGCUGCUCUGCCACGUCUUUCAUCUCCGUAAUCACAAGCAAUGUAGUUAGGUAGUUCUAUUAACUGACAAGGUAAAAUCUAUCACACUAACCGUAGAUGUAGCUCAAAUGAGGACAACCAUUGACUCAUUAAUAAAACGUCUAGAGGAUACGGUGAAGAUAGGAGAACACAAUAUUAUUUGUCUCCAAACGUCAUACGAACAUGUGAUGGAAGAAAUAAUUGAUAUACGUCGACUUAUGAACGAAAAUCUAUAUCGACUGCAACAAAAUACAGAAUGUUAAUGUUUAAAGGGUAUAUGAAUGAAGACAUAGAAAAAACGUCGCCUGAAUGAUCGUUUAUUAUGUACAAAAAAUGUAACAAAAUCGACCAUAUCACUUCCGAAAAGUUAUUUCUUCGAAAAGCAUCUACAAAUGCAAACCUUGAAUUCCACCUAAACAAGGACUUGGAGCAGUUUCUUGCUUCUUGUACAGUUCGGAAGUAUCGCAUGUCGCGAAGGUGCGUCACAUCACCACUUUGAUACAAACACGGCUGCACGCAUAAAGGAAAAUUCAAGAUACAAAGUGCUAACUGCGCUCGAUAGAAGGGACUGUUUUAUAAGGAGCAUAUGCGAGUCGUACUACGGAAACUUCAUUUUUGCUGACUACAACAAUAUGUGCUUGAAACUCCUGGAACAGGUGUACAAUUUUAUACUUGAAAUCAAACUGCCUGAAUCCCCAUGGUGCAUGUGUAACAUAUCAACCAACGAGAUGGCGGUUAUUGUUGGUUACGUAAGCUCUGUAAAAGAAAUUCAUUCUUACGACUCACCAGGGCGACCUGUUUGCAACGUCCGUUGCUGCAGUGUGUCAAUACACGAUGGAUGGGCGGCUAGUGAAUACUUUAUUUAAGGAGAAAUCGGGAGGAUGCGAUGGUGUUGGGGUGAGCCCUGAUGGAAAGAAGGUAUACGUGACGGACAGUGUCAAUGGAAUUCUCUGCACACUGACCAGGGAUGGAGCGGUCACAGCCACGCUCAAGAAGGAUCCUGCAUUUCAAAUGUCUAAUUUCAUAAAUAACAUACAUAGUCGAAUGUGCCGACAUGUGGAUUUCGACUAAUGCGGACCUGUACAUUUUGUGGCAUGGUGGCACUUACAAUCGGUAAAUUGAUUAAAGUCGAUGCUAAAAUAAAAACUGCGCUUUCAAAAUAUAUUAUGAACUGCAUAACUCACACAUUUAUUGAUGACCAAUCUUCUAGACAGUUGUGUUAACCGCGUAAGCUUUCAAACAUUUUACUGGGGUCGCAGACGUUUUAUUGCAGGUAAUCUGAAGAAGAAAUCAACAAUUAUUUACAAAAACCUGUGAGGGAAAUAAGUCAAUGUACCGUGGCUGCAUACUGCGCCAAGGUGUUAACGAACGACUUAUGACCCAGUGCUCUGGGACAAAAUGUAAAGCGCCUUUGAACGCACAUCUCGAGUAUGAAAAGGGCGCUAUAUAAAUGUGGUAUAAAAAUGAUUUUCCAGUUAAGUCGUUGUUAAAUAAUUGA